GAGAAAAUCCGUGCCUCACAGUGAACAUCUUGUGGGAGAUCCUGUUAGUCAAGCGAUUACCAGCUAAGUUUUGUGACUUUGCCAUGAAGUUGGCUCAUGAUGAUACUGGCCUUGGGGCUGUGAGGAAAACUUAUGAAUACAUUUUGUGACAUUUUUUUCUGACCACGAUUAAAGAGGGACAUCGCUGCUUAUGAUAAGACAUGUCAUACGUGCCAGCUUGUGGGGAAACCAAAUGGGAGCAUUCUUCCUGCUCCACUGGUUCGUAUACCAGCUGUCAGUUAUCCAGCUGCUUAUCCGUUGAGGACAAUAACUGCUAGAGCAGCCGUGCGUAGAUGACACAGUUCAUUUCGGGUUUUAGCAUUCCAAAAAUUAUACAGAUGGAUCAAGGAUCACACUUUUCUUCACAUUUGUUUUCACCGGCGUUGAAACAACUUGAUGUUAAGCACAACAAAUCAUCUGGCUAUCAUGCAGAAAGUCGGGGUGCUUUAGGACGCUUCCAUCAGACUUUGAAGUCAUUAUUGCACACAGUUGGAGAAAAACUGGGAAGAGGGUUUGCCCUGGUUGUUGAUGGCAGCUCGAGAAUUGAGAGCACUGGUUUCAGUUCAAAUGAUCUGGUCUUUGGGCAUUAAGUGCGUAGUCCACUUGCUUUGUUGGCUGAUCAAAGUAGAGAAGCAGAGCCUCCUAAAACAAAUAAUAAUAGAUUAUAAACAGCAGGGGUGUUUGCAAAACAGAAUCUCCCUUCUGUACAAAGCAAAAUGAAAAUAUUGUAUGACAAGCAUGCAGAGUACUGUGAGUUUGAGGUUGGAGAUCAGGUUUUGGUCACCUAUUGUUGGCUCACCAUUCGAGGCAACGUUUAUUGGGCUUUACAAGGUUCUAAAAAGAGUGUCGGAGCACAACUAUAUUGUCGUAACUCCUGACAAGAAAAUCCACUCAACUCUGUCAUGUGAACUUGUUAAAGCCCUACUAUAAUCGUUUAACUUCUUCCUCUGACAUGUCUAUUACAGAAAAUGCCAUUCCUGCCUGCUUGGUUGGAAGAAAAUCUAAUUUCUACUCCACAACUGGUAGAAGCUGAGACAGAAGAUGAUCCACCUCAUUGAACAUGAUAUAGAUGUUGGUGAAGCCCAGCCAAAUAAACAAAGAUUCUACCGCGUUAAUCCUGAGAAAGGGAGGUGCUUGGAGGCUGAGGUGAAUGUGAAGUCAGAUGAACCAAACCAGAUAUGUUUCCUCUUGUAAGGAUGGAGGACCGUGUGGACAAGGUAUGCCGUGCUAAGUAAGUCAGUAACUUUGACCUGUUAAAGGGCUAUUGACAGGUCCCUUUAUUCUGACUGUGCAAGUGAAAUUUCAGCUUUGUAUUCCUACAAGGUCAUGCCCUUUGGUUUACAAAAUGCUCAGGCUAAAUUUCAGAGGCUAAUGACUACUAAAACCCCAGGAGACCUGGAAGGCUGUAUGGUUUAUUUGGAUAAUGUUGUGAUUUGUUGCAACACAUGGCACACUAAUUUGAAACACAUUGGUGCCCUUUUUAUUUGUUUGGCUCGUGUACAUUUAACUGUAAAUCUGGCAAAACUUUAGUUUGCUCAGACUACUUUGACAUACAUGGGUCAUGUAGUUGGGCAAUAAAUUAAAGCUGUGAAAGAGUAUUCUGUUCCUACAACAAAAAAAUAACUUAUGAGGUUUCUAGGUCUGCUGGGAUACUACCGAACUGACCUGUUGAAAAUUUAAAAAAGCAUUUGUCUGGUCAGCAGUUUACAAACACACUUUUGAGGGAGUUAAGUCAAUGUUAUCCAAUGCCCCAGUUCUCACAGCUACACGGUUUGAUAGGACUUUUUCUCUGCAAGUGGCAACAGGAGCUGUACUCCUGCAAACAGAUGAUUUAUGUUUUGAAAAACCAGUGAGUUUUUUUCCCAAACAAAUUUAACAGUCAGUAGUUGAACUAUUCUACUACUGAGAAGGAGAUACUGCCGUUAAUUUGGGCCCUAAAACAUUUUGACGUGUACUUGGGUCCGCUGUGGUCCCUAAUGAGGUCUACACAGACCACAAUCUAUUCACUUUUUUCAACUCUACAUAAAAAUCAACGAUUGAUUCGGUGGUCAUUGUUUUGAUAAUCUUACUGGUUUCUUAUUCGGCAUAUAAAGGGUUCAGACAAUAUGGUGGCAGAUGCAUUGUCUCGAGCUCCAAAUAGUUAAUAGUCACUGUAUUAUCCAGCUCCUUGGUUGUUCUUGUCUUUUCCUUCUUAAACUUCUUCCCACUGGUACCAGGUUGCUGAAGGGGGAAGUUUGUAGGCAAGAUGGAGGUGAGUGACUUCACAUCAGGCCAGUUUUCUAGAUCAGGCAUUCUUAGCAUACUUCGUCAAUGCUCAAAGUAUAAAGAUAAAAUGGUUCUAUAGUGUGUUGGGAUUGUUAACACCUACUUUUGGGUAGUGUAAUUUGGGAUUUGGUUUCUUGUUGGGAUGGAACCCUGUUUUUAUGGAGGGAGGUGUGACAGCCUCAUUUGAUUUGGCGGGACCUGUUUGCA